GACGGAGGAUGCAAGCGUUAUCCGGAAUGAUUGGGCGUAAAGCGUCCGCAGGUGGCAGUUCAAGUCUGCUGUCAAAGACUGGGGCUUAACCCUGGAAAGGCGGUGGAAACUGAAGCGCUAGAGUGCGGUAGGGGUAGAGGGAAUUCCCGGUGUAGCGGUGAAAUGCGUAGAGAUCGGGAAGAACAUCGGUGGCGAAAGCGCUCUACUGGACCGCAACUGACACUCAGGGACGAAAGCUAGGGGAGCGAAUGGG
rnacentral:rRNA from 1 species